AAACGACUCUCGGCAACGGAUAUCUCGGCUCACGCAUCGAUGAAGAACGUAGCAAAAUGCGAUACUUGGUGUGAAUUGCAGAAUCCCGUGAACCAUCGAGUUUUUGAACGCAAGUUGCGCCCUAAGCCAUCCGGUUGAGGGCAUGCCUGCCUGGGCGUCACG
rnacentral:rRNA from 1 species